rnacentral:tRNA from 1 species
UCCCUGGUGGCUUAGGUGGUAAAGCGUCUGCUUGCAAAGCAGGAGACCAGAGUUUGAUCCCUGGGUUGGGAA